CACACAAGCUCUCUUGCCUUCUGCCAUGUAAGAUAUGACUGUGCUCCUCCUUCACCUUCUGCCAUGAUUGUGAGGCCUCCACAGCCAUGUGGAACUGGAAGCUGUUUUUCCCUCUUUGGGGUCUCAGAGAGAUUGGUGGCAAGGACUCCUGGGAAGAGAAAAGCUGAAGGACACUCUGGCAAGAGGAAACCCCGAGCCAAACGUAUGGCCACCUCUGACCACUCGACCAGCCCAGCAUGGUGUACAUUUCUGGGUAGCUUAUCACGCCUUCCAAGCAUUGCCUUUAUCUUCCUUCUCCCCAUCAAGCCUGUAUUGUUUUCCUUUUGAAUCAUAAGCACUUUUGUUAAAUACCUCAAAUCUUUCGAGAACAGCAAGGAGCAAAAUAAACUUAACUUCUCUGAGACC
ensembl:lncRNA LINC00520 long intergenic non-protein coding RNA 520